AACAGAUUGAGGGUUAACUCUGCAAAAAAGAGGAGAUUGAGACUGAGACCAGGAGCGACUGACCUAACAGUGCUUAUGGGCCAAGUGUCUGAUUCCAUUUAAGCAACUUCUUCUGGAGUAAGGAGUAGGGGGAAAAGAUUGACUUUCUGGCCGGGCUCAUAAAGAAGGAAACGAAGCAGUUUGGGAUUGGAAGGUAAGUGGUAGAGUUGUUUCUGUAUGUAGUCCUAAUUUACAGUCUAAUUGAGCUUUUUCUUUGUGGCUGCAAAUAUACUUUGUGAGUUGUAGGGAUACAUAAUGAUGUACACAAGAAAUGCUGGGUGUAUCUGCCAGAGAAAACUGAAUACUUUUGAAAUUACUGU